CGAAAGCCUGACGGAGCCAGACCGCGUGGGGGAGGAAGGCCCUUGGGUUGUAAACCCCUUUUCUCAGGGAAGAAACCUGACGGUACCUGAGGAAAAAGCCUCGGCUAACUCCGUGCCAGCAGCCGCGGUAAUACGGAGGAGGCAAGCGUUAUUCGGAAUUAUUGGGCGUAAAGCGUCCGCAGGGGGCUCAUCAAGUCUGCUGUCAAAGGUCGGAGCUCAACUCCGGUUCGGCAGUGGAAACUGGUGGGCUAGAGGGCGACAGGGGUAGAGGGAAUUCCCGGUGUAGCGGUGAAAUGCGUAGAUAUCGGGAAGAACACCAGAGGCGAAAGCGUUCUGCUGGGCCGCGCCUGACCCUGAGGGACGAAAGCCAGGGGAGCG
rnacentral:rRNA from 1 species